rnacentral:rRNA from 1 species
AGAGUUUGAUCCUGGCUCAGGACGAACGCUUGCGGCGUGCCUAAGAAAUGCAAGUCGAACGGAUAGAGCAAUCUAUUAGUGGCGAACGGUCGCGUAACACGUAAGCAAUCUGCCCCGAAGCGGGGGACAACGAUCCGAAAGGAUCGCUAAUACCGCAUGUGGUCGCUUGGCGGCAUCGCCGAGCGUCUAAAGAUAGAUCACUUCGGGAUGAGCUUGCGGCCUAUCAGGUUGUUGGCGGGGUAACGGCCCACCAAGCCUUUGACGGGUAGCUGGUCUGAGAGGAUGUCCAGCCGGAUUGGGACUGAGAUACGGCCCAGACUCCUACGGGGGGCAGCAAUUAGGAAUCUUGCACAAUGGGGGAAACCCUGAUGCAGCGACGCCGCGUGAAGGAUGAAGGAUUCCGGUCUGUAAACUUCUUUUAUCGGGGACGAAGAAUGUGACGGUACCCGAAGAAUAAGCCCCGGCUAACUACGUGCCAGCCGCCGCGGUAAUAC